UGAACUCAAAUUUGUAUAGAGUUGGACGUUAGCCUACAUUUGCCGCUAGGGGCGCUGUUCCAACUGCAUACUUUGAGUUA
rnacentral:pre_miRNA from 1 species